CUCCUUGGUGGAGUUUUCCCCAGUGACCCUAGAACCUUCUGGUACAGUGCAGCAUCACAUGCUCCAUGCAGUUAUAUUCAGCUAGUGGGAAGGCUGUCAUCCAAUAUGUUGAUGGUACUGUGUUGUCUAUCAUAUUUCAAACAUCUGAAACUACAAAACUAAAGAACAGAAUGUCUUCGUUUCCCCAUUUAUCAUUUCUGCUCCCAUAGGAUCUGUCAUUGCAGAAUUCAUUUUCAAAGUGAGGGAUCAUAUGGUGACAACAGAAGAGGAAGUUGCCAAAAAUGCUUUCUGAGUGGGUAAUAAAUCAAUGUAUUAAACAUCAGCUGAGGUAAUACUGAAGGCAAAAGGCUCAAUGGACAUUUGCCAUAAGUAGGAAUGCACAGUGCUUGCCACUCUUACUGAUGAAAGUGAAGCUUCACUACACUGAAAGAAUGGACAUCUUAUUGUAGAUGCUUAGCCUGCUAAAGCUCAAUUUGUAUUAUAUAUUAGAUGUCAACUAUAAGGUCCAUUUUCUAUUAUUACUCCUUGUAUCCAAUCCCUAAACAGUUAUGAAAUUAUACUUUGGAAUAAGAGUGCUUGUUCAGAAACAAAUAUGAUGUUUCCAUGCAUAUACAAUAAAGAAACAAAGUGCUUUUCUGCAUGUAUCCAGGUCCUCUUGGCCUCAGGACUACCAAAGCAAAC
ensembl:lncRNA